UUCCUUAAUCAACAACAAGAAUACUGCAAAUCAAGAAUUCAGCAACAAGAAUACAACUCAACAACCACCAUUCAACCAAAAUACUGCAAAUCAAGAAUUAAGCAACAAUUCACAUGUUUCUACACUCUAAUUCUGCAAAUCAAGAAUACAACUCAACAGCAACUCUAACGAAAACAGAAACUUUCAGCAACAAAAUCAAGAAAAUUCAGAUCUGCAAAUCAAGAACUGAGAGAGAGAGGGGGCGGGGGCACCGUGGCGUUGAACGAAGGAGUCAGCGGCGGCGCUCGUCGUUGAGAGAAGGGGGAGGUGGAGCUUUGAUUUUCGCCUCUUCCUCCGCACCGGGCACCGCCGCUUUGUCUUCUUCUGCGACCACCAGCUCCAGUAACGAAGGUCUCCGACACGUCUACAACUCAGGGGCUCGAGGGGUGAAGAUACGACGGUACGACGGGCUGGGGCGGAGAUUAAAACCCUAGGUUGAUUUUGAUUUUGAUUUUAGAUCUAGGGGAAGAGGUUGAGAAGAAAGGAGGGAGAAGAAGAUACGCCGGCCUCGCCACGCCGAAGGCGGCGAGUGCCGGCGACAUUCGCAGGAGAGAAACAGAGAGUGAGAGAUGCAGAGAGAGGGAAUGAAAGAAGGGAGAGAGCAGAGACCGUGUAAAGAAGAAAAGAAAAGUGGAGAGAGAAAAUGUUUUUUGAGAAUGAGUCUUUAGGAUUUUAAUUAGGGUGUAUAUCAUCUUUAAUUAAGUAGCUAAUUAUUUUAAUUACAACCCUAAUUAUUUCCAUUUUAAGACUGAGUCUAUUGGGCUGGGACGUCCCGAAAAGGAAA
rnacentral:lncRNA from 1 species